rnacentral:rRNA from 1 species
AUUGAACGCUGGCGGCAUGCGUAACACAUGCAAGUCGAACGGUGUUUGGUGCUUGCACCAGACAUAGUGGCGGACGGGUGAGUAAUGCGUAGGAAUCUGUCUUAGAGAGGGGGACAACCCGAGGAAACUUGGGCUAAAACCGCAUAUUCUCGAGAGAGGAAAGCAGGGGACCGGAAACGGCCUUGUGCUCUAAGGUGAGCCUACGUCGGAUUAGCUAGUUGGUAGGGUAAAAGCCUACCAAGGCGAUGAUCUGUAGCUGGUCUGAGAGGACGGACAGCCACACUGGGACUGAGACACGGCCCAGACUCCUACGGGAGGCAGCAGUGGGGAAUAUUGGACAAUGGGGGGAACCCUGAUCCAGCGAUGCCGCGUGUGUGAAGAAGGCCUGCGGGUUGUAAAAGCACUUUCAGUGGGAAAGAGAAGCGUCUUGUGAAUAAUGGGACGUGGAGACGUUACUCACAGAAGAAGCACCGGCUAAACUCUGUGCCAGCAGCCGCGGU